CUUUUCCCGCACCGGUGGCCGGACUCUGCAUGAGUCACCGCCUGCCUGCAAGCCCAGAGCUCGCCGCACCCCCCUGCCUCUCCGCACCGUCCCACAGGCUGUGACCCUCCACCCAGCCAUAGACGGUUCUGCUCUUGGCACAAAGGAGGGCUUCUUAGCCGGGAAUAUGGCUGCCCGGGAGGGGCGACUUCUGUGCUUGUUUUUCCUUCCUGGCACUGAAAACAAGCACAUCCACCCAACAAAUAAAGACGCGGUCAAUGAAAGCAGCUGUGUUUCAAGGGGAGACAGGGAGCAAGCCAAGGAAUAAAUGAAAAGACCCAGUGACAAAAUGCCCAUUCAUCGGGUUCACUCGGCAAACAUUUACUGAAGCAUCUGUGUGCCAGGCACUGUCCUGAGUGCUGGGAAGACACAAAGAUGCCCUUCAGAACGAUGACCCCCGCCUCGCCCUCCGCUGGAACCGGGAGGCAGACACACACAUAAAUACGACACAGUCAACCGUCCCCAGUUCACAGCAUCUAAAGGAGCUAGGAAUGCAUGGGAUGCUUAUGGAAUGUGCGAGAACACGGAGACAAAGUCUCACUGUGUUCCCAGGCUGAUCCCCAACUCCUGAGCUCAAGCCAGCCACCAGCCUUGGCCUCCCAAAGUGCUGGGAUUACAGGCGUGAGCCACCACGCCGGGCCCAGAUGAACAGUCUUAUGAAUCAAUUUCAUUUCCAAGAGCCCUGUUGGACUUCAUGGCUGAGACAGAGCUGAGAGCAGAGAAAACAGACUCAUAAAAUCCUGGCAGAAUCUUUCCAUUCUAAUAGGUAGGUUGGGGUGUGGUGGCUCAUGCCUGUAAUCCUAGCCCUUUGGGAGGCUGAGGCAGGAGGACCACCUGAGCUCAGGAGUUCAAGACCAGCCUGGGCAACAUAGUGAGACCCUGUCUCUACGAAAAAUAAUAAUAAAAAACAAUUGGCCAGGCAUCAUGGCAUGCACCUGUAGUCCCAGCUGUUCAGAAGGCUGAGGUGGGAGGAUCACUUGAGGCCAGCAGGUUGAGGCUGCAGUGAGCUGAGAUGGCGUCACUGUGGGCAACAGUGGGAGACCCUAUCUCAAAAAGCAAACAAACAAACUCUAAUCGCCGUUAAAGUUAAAUGAUCUACAAUCUGGCUUUAUGCUAGGGUAAACUGUCUUCUCACAGCUGGAAAUGAAAAUUCCCUAUAGUAGUUGGAGGGCUCCCGACCCCCAGCCUCCCAACCUACCACACUCCAACUUUGUCUGUGCCCUGCCACGAACACUUUUCUAGAAGAGACCCCUUCUGCCACCCCACGUUUGCCACAGUGGGCUCCUCAAAGUGCUCAUCCAGGAGACUGAAGAUUCUAAGUUUCCAACCCAGAGACUGGAGCCAACAGAAUCCCUUUUCCAGGACUUAGCAUUUGGGACUCACAGAGAUUUCCUCUCCCUCAUUGGGCGACUGGGCUAUAACAGUGGGCUUCAAAGUGAAGCUAGUAGACUGGGGACAUGAAGACGUUGGAGGGGUGCAGAGUCAUGAAUAGCUGUCAAGGAUUGGUUUCCAGAUCUAAAAUUGACACCUAUAGUCUUUCCUAUACAGACAUGCUCUACUGGCGAGUGUUCUGGUUCUGAGAGCUUGUCUUUCUUUAUCAACUGCCCUUUCAAGCUCAAGCUUCCCCUAUUGCACAGAAGAAAUGCAAGCCUCUUCCCUUCUGGAAUCGCACCAUGGGCAGUACUCCAGAGAGUGGAAACUCUCUGACACCAAACAAGGGACAAUUCAAGAAUAAAUGGCACCUGAGUCCCAGGAGGGCAAAGCAGAGUGAGAAAAGAAUUAGUGAGUGAUGUGGAAAGGACAACAUCCUUUCAUCCCAGAGUCAAAGCCCCGGCAAGCCUCCAGGCCUCAGCGCUCCCUCUGUCUUACAGCACAAAAACACCUUUUGUGGAUGGGAAAGGACUCAGGACGUGAUCAGACUGGCCUGCUGAGAGUAUCAUAGGGAAGUGCUGGAUGGGUUCAUGGAAAGAAGUAUACACAGAUGAGGAACAGCAGAAAGGCAUG
rnacentral:lncRNA from 1 species